AUGAACGCUAGCGGCAGGCCUAACACCUGCAAGUCGAGGGGGAAGUUACUUUCGGGUGACUGAGACCGGCGUACGGGUGCGUAACGCGUAUACAAUCUGCCUUUCACUGGGGGAUAGCCCGAAGAAAUUUGGAUUAAUACCCCAUAGUAUAUAGGGACGGCAUCGUUUUUAUAUUAAAGCUUAGGUGGUGAAAGAUGAGUAUGCGUUCUAUUAGCUAGUUGGAGAGGUAACGGCUCCCCAAGGCGAUGAUAGAUAGGGGUUCUGAGAGGGAUGUCCCCCACACUGGUACUGAGAUACGGACCAGACUCCUACGGGAGGCAGCAGUGAGGAAUAUCGAACAAUGGUCGGAAGACUGAUCCAGCCAUGCCGCGUGCAGGAUGAAGGUCUUAUGGAUUGUAAACUGCUUUUGUAAGGGAAGAAUAAGGGCUACGCGUAGUUUGAUGACGGUACCUUACGAAUAAGCAUCGGCUAACUCCGUG
rnacentral:rRNA from 1 species